ACGGCCAUACCACAUUGAAAACACCGGUUCUCGCCCGAUCACCGAAGUUAAGCAAUGUCGGGCCCGGUCAGUACUUGGGAGGGUGACCACCAGGGAACACCGGGUGCUGUAGGCU
rnacentral:rRNA from 1 species